UAUGGGAGAAAUGGAGGAGCUUCAGUUUCUAGUCUCUAUUUUUGUUACUGUUUUUAAUCAUGUAUUUCUUGUAUCGUUUCUUUUUAGUUGUACUGUUUCUUGAGCAUCUUGCUUGAGUUUAUAAAAUUUCCGCCCUUUUCAAAAAAAUAAACUGUCUCCAGGGUUUUACAUACGCAGCCCUAUGUACGGCCAUCCACCGCGCUCCCACCGUCGCAACGGCGGCCGUGGCCAACCACCACUCUUCAACCCUAACUACCUCAACAACAACAACUAUUUCCUCCCAAUCCCCUUCCCCAAUUUCCCCAUUAACUUUCAUGUUCCAAACCCUAGCUUCGAUCCGCAUACUCAAUUAGCCAAUAACAGAGGGGUACAGGUUAAUGGAACUGUUGAGAAGAUCGAUAAAGCGGUGGUGAAGGCUCGCCAUGAGCUUAUUGCUGCCGGAGAGAACGUGUCGGCGUUGAAGGUGUCGCAGGGGGUUCUUGUCGUGCUUCAGGCGGAUUCGUGGGAUUCGUUAGGGCUUCAGAUACAGCAGGUGCCUUCUUUAUAUCGCCUUAUGGUCAUUGAAGGCAAGAUCAAUGCAUUUAUCAAUUGUUUUGUUGGAGUACGGAAGAUUACCACAUUAUCUGACUUGGAGACAGCAAUCUGCAAGAAUGAGGGAGUUCAGCAGUUUGAAGAGCUUGAGCUGGGACCUCUCAUCCGACACCCUCUUGUAAAUCAUUAUUUUUGUGUGAGUUCUGAUUCAACUGGAGUGUUCAAAAUAUCCAGCCAAGAGAUACUUACUUUUCUUGUAGAGUUUAUGGACACCCAUGAAGGCAAAGAGGUAAAGGCAGAUGAAUUAUUGGAUUUUAUUGCUAAAAAACUAUCAGUUGAUAGCAAGGAAAAGCUUCAUGUUCGUAUCCAAAGUUUGGGGUUGCAUAUUUCUCUUAUCCGAAAAGCAAGGGCAAUGGAAAACGCUACAAUAAAGAAAUUUCUCACGGUUCCCGUAAAGAAAAAUAACACACACCCUCUACUGAACGUAUCAACACAGAAAAAGCAGCUGGAUGAAAAUUUCAGUGUCAUAUCUGAACGUAUCAAGUCAUUUACUUCAGAGCAUAACAAACACAUACGAUUUCAAUCAUCAAGUUCAGAAGAUGAUGCAGAUGAUAUUGAUACUGAUGACGAGGAUGAAACUUGUUUGACUAGUCAAAGCAAAAACUCAUCUCAAGAUAUGAAAAAUUCUGAUCGAGUUAGCAGUUGUCCAUAUCCCUCUGCAGCUGAAGAGAAGACACGACUUGGAAUCCUUGGUGAAAAGGAAGACACAAGUUGCAAUGAAGGCAUAAAUAAUAAAUCAAAUAAAAAGAGAAAAUCAGAUGAAAUAGACUCCACAUCUUCUGGUUGCUGUAAAGUCCCUAAAAGAGAUGGUACUGGACAGGUUUCUGUGGGUGUCAAAAUAAAUAAGAAAGUUAAAUGUAAACCUAAACAUGCAGCUAUGUCACUGGAUCAUGAUUCAAUGAUGGCAUUCAUUACAUUGUGGAAAGAUGUAUGCAAAAGGAAAAAUGUUUACGAGGCCCUGAAGGAGAUACUUAGGUUCUACAAAGUCAAAUUGCCUAAACAGUUGUACAAAUCUCACCCUUUAGUUGGGUUGACAAAUGUUGCGAUAAGAUCUAUUAAACGUGGAAUGUGGGAUAGCAUGUAUGAUACUUUCCAAACAUUUGAGCAACAAGAAGAACCGGUAGCAGACUCGGAGGGUCAUGCUGAAAAUGUAACCAUACAGACUGAACCAGUAGAUAGUCUGCUUGUCACUAAGCGUGUUCCGAAACAACAUUGUGAAGUCAGUCUUGAAGACAUCUUGAAGAAAGUUUAUGACUUUCUCAAAGAUAAUCAUGAUGUCAUGGGUGAUGUCAACACCUCUCUUGGUAAAAAUGCGAUCUUUCUCAGAAAUCUUUACAAAUGUGAGGUAUGGCUUACUCAGCAGUUUGAUGUUGACAAGUUUGAGUCUUUUGGAUAUGGUGACUUUCUUACGUUCAUCGAAAGAAAUGUCUCUGCAUUGCCAUCUUCAUUCCAGAAGUACUUUGUGACUGAUGGGACCCAUAAUAAGCGUUCCCUAGAUGCUUGCAUGUCCCACCAGUUAUUAAACUUGCUAGUAGCACAAGCUUCACAUAACUUAUCUGAAAAUGAAAAUAUAACCAUUCAGAGUGUUUUAGAGUUGUUGGCACGGCAGUUCCCUUUAAUACCCUUCAAGAUGGAAAACGAAGGCUCUCUGAAAGCCCUUGAGGAUAUUGUGACGGCUAACAAGAGCAAUCCAGUAUCUAAAAGUGUUUUAUUUUCAGGUGCUUUAUUAUCACACCCAAAUGUAAAAAGUUAUUCAGAAACACAUAUAUCGUCUAAAUAUGCAAUUGAAGUUUUACUUGGUGCUCCGAUGUUGACCGAUUUAAAUAAAUGGUCACAUUGGGAUGUUUUAUUUGCACCUUCUCUUGGCCCUCUUUCCAUAUGGUUAUCAAAUCAAACAAACACAAAGGAUCUGCUUUGUUUGGUGACUAGAAGUGGGAAUGCGAUACGUAUUGAUAAUACCGCCACAGUGGAUUCGUUUCUAGAAGCGUCCAUUCAAGGGUCUUCUUUCCAAACAGCAGUAAAUUUGCUUUCCCUCUUUGCAUUAUACGGUGGUGAAAAGAAUGUUCCUUCAUCUCUUCUAAAAUGCCAUGUGGAAAAAGCCUUUAAAGUCAUAGUCAACAAUGAUUUAUCUGAUGGCAUAUCUAGCGCCUCAAAGUUUAUUUUAGAAUGUUUGGCUUAUCUACCAAAAGAGUUUCAUUGCUUUGCCACUGAUUUGUUGCUUUCGGGAUUUCGCUCUGUUGUUAAAGAGGCUCCUUCAUCCAUUUUAAGCCAAUGCAGACACUCAGAAGACCGUUUAAUGCUUCAUGAAAUAGGGUUUUCUCUUGGUAUAGUGGAAUGGAUUAAUGAUUACAAUAGCUUUUCUUUUACUGAAUCCAGUAAGUCAACUGAAUUUGUCCAAGAAAAGGUUACUUCAACCAGUUUUUCGCAUGGAAAGGGGGAAUAUAUAUUAUCAACCAAGGAUCCUAAGGUGGAAAAAGAGGAAUAUAAAGUAGCCAAUUUCACUGGCAGAAAUGUGGAUUUCAAACAGUAUUUAUCGACAAGUAUUAAUGAAGAGGAAUCAACUAAGAUUAUCGAGCGUAUUAGGCGAGAAGAAUUUGGGUUGGAUCCGGAAAUUUCAGCUAAAGAGGAUAGCAUUUUGAAGAAACAACAUGCUCGUUUGGGUAGAGCACUACAUUGUCUAUCCCAAGAGUUAUAUUCUCAGGACUCGCAUUUUUUACUUGAACUUGUUCAGAAUGCUGAUGACAAUGUGUACCCAUGUGAUGUGGAGCCUACUCUGAGCUUCAUUCUUCAGGAAGGUGGUGUUGUAGUACUGAAUAACGAGCAAGGUUUUUCUGUUGAAAACAUUAAAGCACUCUGUGAUGUUGGCAAUUCAACAAAGAAGGAACCCAGUGCUGGAUAUAUUGGUAAAAAGGGCAUUGGCUUCAAAUCGGUAUUUCGGGUUACUGACGCUCCUGAAAUUCAUUCCAAUGGAUUCCAUAUCAAGUUUGACAUAACUGAUGGCCAGAUUGGUUUUGUUCUGCCAACUGUCGUUCCACCUUGUGAUGUUAACUUGUUCAGCAAGUUGGUUUCUAUGGAUAACGAUCCAACAAACGAGAAAGUUUGGAAGACAUGCAUUGUUCUUCCUUUCAGAUCAAACAAAAAAAAUGAAUCUUUUUCAAUCGAGAAUCUCAUUUCCAUGUUUUCUGAUCUCCAUCCAUCGUUAUUGUUAUUCCUUCAUCGUCUUGAAUGUAUCAGAUUCAGAAAUCUUAUAAAUGAUUCAUUCAUUAUCAUGAGGAAGGAAAUUAUUGGGGACUAUAUUGUAAAUGUUUCUCUUGGGAAAGAGAAAAUGACUUGGUUUGUUAAAGCUUGUAAAUUACAAGCUAAUCAUAUUCGUCAUGAUGUUCAGACAACCGAAAUAUCAAUGGCACUCAUGUUAGAGGAUUUAAAUGAUGGAAAUUACAUCCCAAAGCUGGAACACCAACCUGUUUUUGCCUUUCUUCCGUUACGAAAUUAUGGUUUAAAGUUCAUAAUUCAAGCUGAUUUUAUUCUUCCUUCAUCACGUGAGGAAGUUGAUGGAGAUAGUGCAUGGAACCAGUGGUUGCUAUCUGAAUUUCCAAAUUUGUUUGUUAGUGCUGAGGUGGCAUUCUGUAGUCUUCCUUGUUUUAAGGAGAUUCCUGCAAAGGGCGUUUCAGCCUUUAUGAGGUUUGUUCCUCUUGUAGGUGAGGUGCACGGGUUCUUUUCUUGUCUUCCACGUAUGAUUAUUUCCAAGUUGCGUGUGUCUAAUUGUCUGCUUCUAGAAGGUGACGACAAUGAGUGGGUCCCACCAUGUAAAGUACUAAGAAAUUGGACUGAGCAAACCCGUUCUUUGUUGCCUGAUAGUUUGAUAAAAGAGCAUCUUGGUGUUGGGUACUUGAAUAAGGAUACGGUUUUAAGCGAUUCGUUGUCACAUGCUUUAGGGAUCGAGGAGUGUGGGCCCAAAAUUCUUAUUCAGAUUAUGACAUCUUUAUGUCGAGCCGGUUCUCUGAAGUCAAUGGGUUUCAGCUGGCUAUCCUCUUGGCUAAAUGUUAUGUAUCUGAUGUCGGCUAAUGGAACCGAGUCAGAUGUCAUAAGUUUGCUUGGUGAAAUACCAUUUAUACCCCUCUUGGAUGGUAAGUAUGCUGCAAUUAGUGAUGGUACAAUUUGGCUACACGCUGAUAACCAUGGUCUUGAGGCGUUUGGUAAUUUAUAUCCCACACUCCGAAUUGUUAAUCCCACCCUUUUCAAAGAUUCGUGUGUUGAAAAUAUAACCAAUAUGCUUCAUAAAGUUGGGGUACAACGGCUAUCUGCACAUGAAGUUUUAAAAGUGCACAUUUUACCAGCCAUUUCUGAUGAAAAAGUUGAAAAUUUGGAAUUGAUGAUCGAGUAUCUUUCGUUUAUUAUGUUUCACCUAGAAUCAUCUUGCCCUGAGUGUGCUUUAGACAAAGAGCACAUACUCUUAGAGUUACGUAACAAUGCUUUUAUUUCCACAAAUCACGGGUACAAACGGCUUGCUGAUGUGUCGAUCCAUUUCAGUAAAGAAUUCGGUAAUCCAAUUGAUGUGAGGAAAUUGCUUAAUGGCGCUGAUAUGAAGUGGUUUGAGACUGACAUGGGUUAUUUAAAUCACCCGGUUUACAAAUCAGAAACAUUGAAAUGGAGGAAAUUCUUGCAGGAAUUAGGAGUGACUGAUUUUGUGAAAAUUUGUAAAGUUGAAAAGCAUAUUUCAGACAUACCUCAUACCAUUCUCAAGAACAUGAUGUUAGAUGAUGAUUGUAUUAUAUCUUCGGGGGGAUCCACUAUCAUCCAAGAUUAUGAUUCUCAAGAGUUAAUGGAUUUGCUGUCACAUGUUUCCUCAAAUGGUGAUAGGGAAAAGGGUAAGUACCUUUUAGAGGUACUUGAUACACUAUGGGAUGAAGUUUUUAGUGAUAAGGUUACGGGUUUCUGCAGCACUAUUAAUGGACAAAAGAAGCCCUUUAAAUCUUCUGUUAUAAGAAUCCUUCAUAGUUGUCAAUGGUUGGCUUCUAGUAUUGAUGAUAAACUUCAUUUUCCUAAAGAUUUGUUUCAUAACUCUGAAACAGUGUAUGCGGUUCUUGGUGACAGUGCACCAUAUGCUAUUCCAAAGGUAAACAAUGUGAAGUUAUUAACUGAUAUCGGCUUGAAGAAUACUGUCACUCUUGAUGAUGCUUUGUCAGUUCUAGACGUUUGGAGAAGAUCCGAGAAGCCUUUUAGGGCCAGCGUAUCACAAAUGUCCAAAUUCUACACAUAUAUAUGGAACGAGAUGAGCAUCUCAAAACAGAAGAUAAUGGAGAAGUUGCAUUCUCAAGAUUUCAUAUUUGUUCCUUACUCAUUUAAAUCCACCCAUGAAGUUGCAUCUGGUUCAUUCUUAUCCCCCAAUGAAGUAUAUUGGCAUGAUUCUACCGGUUCAAUGGAACAAACAAGAUCAACCUAUCCUCAGUUUGACCGACAUCAUUCUUUCAGCAAGAUGUUAUGCAACGUUUAUCCCGGGCUUCAUUAUUUCUUUGUAAAAGAGUUUGGAGUCGCUGAAAAUCCUCCUCUUCUAAGCUAUCUUCAGUCUUUGCUACAGUUAUCAACUACAAGCUUACCAUCUCAAGCAGCAAAAACAGUUUUUCAAGUUUUCGAAAAAUGGAGUGAUGGAUUAGCCUCGGGGUUUCUGAGCUCAGAUGAUAUAAACUACUUGAAGAAAAAUAUGGAGGAAAAGGAAAUGAGGAUUCUUCCUACUGUGCGAGAUAAAUGGGUUUCAUUGCAUCAAUCGUAUGGUCUCAUGUGUUGGUGUGACGACGAGGAGCUAAAAAAGGAAUUCAAGAAUUUGAGUAAUGUUGAUUUUUUAUUUUUUGGGGAGCUUGAUACUAAAGAAAAGCAAAUGCUUCGGGAUAACAUUUCUGUGUUAUUCCAGAGUUUGGGAAUCCCUUCUCUUUCCGAGGUUGUGACACGUGAAGCAAUAUACUACGGUCCCACAGAAAGUAGUUUUAAAACUUCACUGGUUAGCUGGGCUCUCCCUUAUGCACAACGCUACAUUUAUAAUAUUCAUCCAAAUGAAUAUUCUGAAUUCAAGCUCUCUGGAUUCAAAAACCUAAAUUCUCUGAAAAUUGUUGUGGUUGAGAAAUUGUUCUACAAAAACAUCAUUAAAAAAUUUGGCAUCGAAUCUAUCAAAAGAUACGAGUGCAGCUGUCUUCUACAAGACAACGUUCUGUAUGUAACCCGUGAAUCUGAUACUCACUCGUUGUAUAUGGAGCUUUCCCGUUUUCUAGUUUCUGGAAUUCCUGAAUUGCCCUUGGCAAAUUUCCUUCACAUGAUUACAACAAUGGCAGAAUCAGGCUCCACAGAGGAACAGAUGGAAUUGUUCAUUACGAGUAGCCAAAAGUUACUAAAGCUCCCCCGUGAAGAAUCACCGUGGUUAAUAUCCAGGUCAUCACCAGAAGAGGAGGAUACACCGACAACAAGCUCAUUGGAUGAUUUAUGUCCACCUCCAAAAUCUACUACUGCCAAGAAGUUUGGAAGUAGUAACUCGAGUUGGCCACCUGUCAACUGGAAAACCGCACCCGGGUUUGAAUAUGCGGUAAAGACAAAGGCAUUCAACACUGGUCAAAUGAGGCGGGAUGUUACCGAAACUGAUGAUGACUGGAUCAUUGAAGAAAAUCCAGCUUCAGUGAUCUUGGAAGAUGAUGAAGCUUUAAUAGACCAAUACGAUUCCAGAACCAAUAUGAAUGUUGACUUUGAAGGUCAACCAAAGAGUACAACAGUUUCUUCUUAUAUGAAUGCUGGUAAACCGGGCACGAGUGCAUCUACUAAUCUAAUUGAAAAAGAUGAGCUAAGUUUGGGUACCGUCACCCCACAACAGGUGAUAACCGGGAGGACAGGAGAAGUUGUGGCUUUCAAAUAUUAUUUAUCAAAAAUUGGGGAGAAAUGUGUGAAGUGGGUGAACGAGGUUAAAGAAUCGGGGCUACCAUAUGAUAUUGUUGUCAAAGGUGAGAAUAACAAGAAGGAAUAUAUUGAAGUUAAAGCAACUUCAAAUGCAAGAAAAGACUGGUUUGUUAUAACUGUAAGAGAAUGGCAGUUUGCUGUUGAGAAAGGUGAAUCGUUUAGCAUUGCGCGUGUUGUUUUAUCACAAGGGAAAUCCGCCCAGAUCACUAUUUACAGAAAUCCAUUCAAAUUAUGCCAAUCUGGGCACCUGCAGCUGGCUAUUUUGUCAUCAAAGCAUUCUUCUUGAUAGCUGCAAAAGUUUUGGGCUGCUGUACAUAUAGUCAGUCAUACCAUCUAUUGUUUAGUCUUCUUACAAACACUUAAUGGAGAUGAAAAUUCCGGUAUAUAACAAUUUUCUCGGUUCAACCCGUUUGGAGACGGAUUUUGUGAUAAUAUGAUUGACGCACAACUUCAAGUAAAACUUCCAGCUUUACAACACAACUUCCAAUCAACCUUUAUAACAAUUAUCUUCGUUUAAUGUAUAAGUUGUUUCAGUUACUGCUUAGGGUAAAUUACACUUUUUGUCCUUUAUGUUUGUAUCAAAUUGCAACGCAUACCCUUUAACAUUAAUAAUUACACUCAUGGUCCUUUCUUUGUAAAAA